rnacentral:tRNA from 1 species
AGGUUUUGUUGGGCUAAAAGAGUUUUGAAAACUUUUUUGAAGUGUUCGAUUCACUUAUAACUUU